AAAAAAAUCAUUUUUGAAGCUCGUGUUGAAACAGUUCGACGACGUGCUGGUAAAGAUCCUCUUGGCUGCCGCACUAACAUCUUUAAUUCUCGGGAUGGCAAAUAGCGAAGGCAUUUAUUCUUUGAUUGAACCAAGCGUCAUCGCCUGCAUUUUGAUCGCAAACGCCAUUGUCGGCGUGAUGACCGAAACAAAUGCGGCGAAGGCAAUCGAGGAGCUUGGGGCGUACCAAGCGGAAGUUGCGACUGUUUGUCGCGGCGGAAGCCUAACGGUGUGUCCAGCUGCUGAGCUUGUUCCUGGCGAUAUCGUUGAGCUCGCUGUUGGAGACAGGAUCCCUGCGGAUAUCAGGCUGUCAGGAAUAGUCGGGUCCACGUUUCGUGUAGAUCAAGCACCGUUGACCGGAGAAAGUGAGAGCGUAACGAAAACCAUAGAAAAAAUCGCAGCUACCAAGGCGGUCUUACAGGAUAAGACUUGCAUAGCAUUUAGCGGGACAAUCGUUACUGCGGGGCGAGCACAAGGUGUGGUGGUGGCAACGGGCAUGUCCACAGCAAUCGGACAGAUUCAAAAUGCCGUGACUGAAGUGGAUUGCAUGGAUGAAACGACCCCACU
rnacentral:lncRNA from 1 species